AUGCUCACUUCGGCAGCAUAUAUACUUAAAAUUGGAACGAUACAUAGAAGAUUAGCAUGGCCCCUGUGCAAUGAUGACACGCAAAUUCAUGAAGCCUUCCAUGUUUAA
rnacentral:snRNA from 1 species